ACGGCCACAGUAUCCUGACUGUGCAAAGGUAGCAUAAUAAUUUGCCAUUUAAUUGGUGGCUAGUAUGAAUGGGUAAACAGAGAUUUAUUUUAUUCUUAUUCUACUGUAAAUUAGUAAUUAUGUGAAAAACCAUAAAUUUACCUGAAAGACAAAAAGACCCUACUGAGCUUAAAGAUUCCCCCUAAUCAGGAUCACCUCUUUUAGCUGGGACGACUAAAGAGCACAACUAAACCUCUUAGAUUAUAUUAGACACCUUGUCACACCACUGCCCCUCUAAUGAUCACCGAAUAUAAGUUACCAUAGGGAUAACAGGCUAAUUCUCCUUAGGAGCCCAAAUCGACAGGAGAGCUUGGCACCUCGAUGUUGGCUUAGGGUUACUCUUUCCUGCAGAAGGGAAAUAAGUUGG
rnacentral:rRNA from 1 species